GUACGGGAGGCAGCAGUGGGGAAUAUUGCGCAAUGGGGGAAACCCUGACGCAGCAACGCCGCGUGGAGGAAGAAGGUUUUCGGAUUGUAAACUCCUUUGAUCAGGGACGAAAAAUGACGGUACCUGAAAAACAAGCCACGGCUAACUACGUGCCAGCAGCCGCGGUAAUACGUAGGUGGCGAGCGUUGUCCGGAAUUACUGGGUGUAAAGGGCGUGUAGGCGGGAUAUCAAGUCAGAUGUGAAAUUCUGAGGCUUAACCUCAGAGCUGCAACUGAAACUGAAAUUCUUGAGUGCUGGAGAGGAUAGUGGAAUUCCUAGUGUAGCGGUGAAAUGCGUAGAUAUUAGGAGGAACACCAGUGGCGAAGGCGGCUAUCUGGACAGUAACUGACGCUGAGGCGCGAAAGCGUGGGGAGCAAACAGGAUUAGAUACCCCGGUAGA
rnacentral:rRNA from 1 species